rnacentral:rRNA from 1 species
UACCCAAUUCUAACAGCAUAAGAGAGGUAGUGACAAGAAAUAACAAUACAAGGCAGUUAAAAUAGCUUUGUAAUUGGAAUGAUAGAAAUUUAAACACUUUUUAAAGUAUCAAUUGGAGGGCAAGUCUGGUGCCAGCAGCCGCGGUAAUUCCAGCUCCAAUAGCGUAUAUUAAAAUUGUUGCAGUUAAAAAGCUCGUAGUUGAAUUUYUGCUAAAAAUAACCGGUCUGCUUUUAAUAAAGGUGGUAUCUUGGUGUGUUUUUAGCAAUAAUGUCCUUUGAAAUGUUUUUUACUUCAUUGUAAUAAAUUAUAUUUAGGAUUUUUACUUUGAGAAAAUUAGAGUGUUUCUAGCAGGCUAAUGCUUUGAAUACUGCAGCAUGGAAUAAUAAAAUAGGAUUUUGGUUCUACAUUAUUG